rnacentral:rRNA from 1 species
GGGCCCGCACAAGCGGUGGAGUAUGUGGUUUAAUUCGAUGCAACGCGAAGAACCUUACCAGGGUUUGACAUCCUGCGAAUUCCUGAGAAAUCGGGAAGUGCCUUCGGGAACGCAGAGACAGGUGGUGCAUGGCUGUCGUCAGCUCGUGUCGUGAGAUGUUGGGUUAAGUCCCGCAACGAGCGCAACCCACGUCUUUAGUUGCCAGCAUUCAGUUGGGCACUCUAGAGAGACCGCCGGUGAUAAACCGGAGGAAGGUGUGGAUGACGUCAAGUCAUCAUGCCCCUUACAUCCUGGGCUACACACGUACUACAAUGCUACGGACAAAGGGCAGCAAACUCGCGAGAGCUAGCAAAUCCCAUAAACCGUGGCUCAGUUCAGAUCGUAGGCUGCAACUCGCCUACGUGAAGGAGGAAUCGCUAGUAA